UCAGGACGAACGCUGGCGGCGUGCUUAACACAUGCAAGUCGAACGGUGAUCUUGAGAGCUUGCUCUUGGGUGAUCAGUGGCGAACGGGUGAGUAACACGUGAGUAACCUGCCCCAGACUCUGGAAUAACCUCGGGAAACCGUGGCUAAUACCGGAUACGAAACGGAGCUGCAUGGCUGCCGUUUGGAAAGUUUUUCGGUUUGGGAUGGACUCGCGGCCUAUCAGCUUGUUGGUGAGGUAAUGGCUCACCAAGGCGACGACGGGUAGCCGGCCUGAGAGGGCGAUCGGCCACACUGGGACUGAGACACGGCCCAGACUCCUACGGGAGGCAGCAGUGGGGAAUAUUGCACAAUGGGCGAAAGCCUGAUGCAGCGACGCCGCGUGAGGGAUGACGGCCUUCGGGUUGUAAACCUCUUUCAGCAGGGAAGAAGCGAAAGUGAC
rnacentral:rRNA from 1 species